CUGUCGGAUCGUUACGUCUCCGCGACACGGAAGCAGAUGUUCAGUCGUCAUUUGGAGAAAAAAAUAUAACUAGCGAACAAGCGCCAUUCUAUCUCAUUCAGCGGGUGUAGCUUCUUCUUCUAAUCCACAUUGAAAACAUGUGAUUUUAAAAACUAUUUUACUUAUCGUUUGUGAGGUACUGAUCCAAAGCAUCCGGAUGUCUGAAUUGUGAAACUAACAUUGCAGUUCCGUCUGCCUUAAGACAGUAUCCUACUUUUACUGGAGUCCAUUAAACUGUACAUUUCCGGGCUGGAUUCAUUUAUGAAAUCGAAACUGAGAUGAGGCAGAUUUCCGGAAAGUUAUGUUCAUGUCGUGUGGAUGUGAAUAUAAAAUAAAAGGCUAUACGGAAAUAUGAGUUGCGCAGUAUAGAAUAAGGAAAAGAGAGACUAAAACUUCAGUAUUGAAAGCAAGAUGUUAAUUUUUCCACAAUAGUGAGCCCCGUGUCGGGUAUAUUAUUGGCGGACUGCGAUACCCGGAAGCUGCUUUCUUUGCAGAUAUGAUCCCGGAGCCCUGAUCGUCUAAGCCAUGGCGCACCGUUCCCAUGAAGAGGUCUCACUCGCUGGCCUCUUGCUGGAUUACCUGAAGGAGCUCAGUGGUGCCCAGCUGAAGUAGUUUAAAUUCAGACUGAGUACCCUAGUAUAUAAAGAGUUAAAGCCCAUUCCUUGGGGUCAGCUGGAGGACAUUAAAGAUGAACCGGACAUCGCCUCCAUAAUGAGAAGUUUCUACAGUGAAGACAGUGCUCUCAAAGUCAUGCUUGAAAUCCUGGGGAAGAUGAACCUGAAUGACCUUGCUUUGAGACUUAAUAAAGACCUGCAGUGGAGUAAUCAUAUUUUUAACCUUUUUGUGUUUCUCCAAAAAUGUAACAUUUUUUUAAGCUCUUCAAAAAGAACAUUGUAUUAUAUAGCAUGAUAAGGAAAUUAUUUUGAAAUUCUCUCUUUUUUAAGGUAACGAGGCAGGAAGGGAGCUGGGUGUCAGAACUACUGGCCCAUCUUGUGUUCAAUAUUUCUGUUCCAUACUUAUGUAUAGGCACACACUGGGGACAAAUAUAUGAAUCCAGAUAUUUAUUCUUUGAUUAGCAUAUUAAGUUUAUGAAAGAGGACCCUUCUUGAGUCAGUCUUUGAGGAAGUCAAAAACCCAUUAACACGCUGUCUUCUUUGUACCUACACAGUGUCAGUGUGCAGAUGGACGAUGAGCUCCAAUCUAAAUGUGACAUCCAGAGUGUGUAUAUGUAUUUGUAUAUGUAAGAGUGUGUUUAUACAACAAUACAUUUUGAGGAAUUAUAUAAUAACUUUGGCCCUUACAUUUCAGGCAAGAAGUACAGAGACGUCCAAAGACAAAUUAAAAGCAGACUUAAGGAGAAGUUUCAAUGUAUAUUUGAGGCAUUACCAAAACAAGGGAAGACCACCUUCCUCAAUGAUAUCUACACGGAGCUGUACAUCACAGAAGCUGGGAAUGGGGGAGUAAAUAAUGAACAUGAGAUCCGGCAGAUUGAGACAGAAUUCUGGAAAAAUGCUUCCCCAGAACACACCAUCAAAUGCAGUGACAUCUUCAAUCCUCUCCCCAGCCAGAGGAAACGUAUCAGAACCGUUCUGACUAGAGGAAUCGCAGGUAUUGGAAAAACGGUGUCUGUGCAAAAGUUUGUUCUUGACUUGGCAGAAGAAAGAGAAAACCAAGAUAUGGAUUUUGUAUUUACUCUUCCUUUCCAUGACCUAAAUCGGAUGAAGGAGAAGCAGUGUAGCCUCAUUCAGCUCAUUCAUCAGCACUUUUCAGAAAUAAAAGAAAUGGAAAAGAUCUCAUGGAAGGACUUGAAGACUGUGUUUAUCCUUGAUGGCCUGGAUGAAUGCCGUCUUCCCCUUAAUUCCAAAGACAAUGAGACAUGGAGCGAUGCAACGGAGACCACUACAGUUGAUGUGCUGUUUCCAGAUUCAUCAGAAAAAAUGACGUCACCCCAGUCCUCAGCAGUCCAAUCUCUGUACCUUUUGCAGAAUAUCAAUCUGUCCCUGAUGUGUUUUCUUGGAGAGAAGCGGCUUCUUUGCUGCCCUUCUUGAAACAAGUCCAUCCUCCAAGUCUUCACCUCACUGUGCGUGCAGAUACACCUGCCUGCUGUCAGUCCUGAGUGAGCUCUGCACUGGUGGUGCCCCAAUCCUGCAGCUGAAUCAACUUUAGGAGACGGUCCUGGCACUUGCUAGACUUUCUUGGGCGCCCUGAAGCCUUCUUCACAACAACUGAACCUCUCUCCUUGAAGUUCUUGAUAAUCCAAUAAAUGGUUGAUUUAGGUACAAUCUCA